rnacentral:tRNA from 1 species
GGUGUCAUGGCAGAGAGGUAAUGCGGGGUACUGUUAAUACUUUUUUCAGAGGUUCAAUUCCUCUUGAUACCU